rnacentral:rRNA from 1 species
UACGUAGGGUGCGAGCGUUAAUCGGAAUUACUGGGCGGAAAGCGUGCGCAGGCGGUUCGUUGUGUCCGAUGUGAAAGCCCCGAGCUCAACUUGGGAAUGGCAUUGGAAACUGGCGAGCUGGAGUGUGGCAGAGGGGGGUGGAAUUCCACGUGUAGCAGUGAAAUGCGUAGAGAUGUGGAGGAACACCGAUGGCGAAGGCAGCCCCCUGGGCCAACACUGACGCUCAGGCACGAAAGCGUGGGGAGCAAACAGG